rnacentral:lncRNA from 1 species
GAGGAGCCCCGUCUCCCAGGUCCCAGAGUAUCGAGGAGCCCCGUCUCCCAGGUCCCAGAGUAUCGAGGAGCCCCGUCUCCCAGGUCCCAGAGUAUCGAGGAGCCCCGUCUCCCAGGUCCCAGAGUAUCGAGGAGCCCCGUCCCCCAGGUCCCAGAGUAUCGAGGAGCCCCGUCUCCCAGGUCCCAGAGUAUCGAGGAGCCCCGUCCCCCAGGUCCCAGAGUAUCGAGGAGCCCGAACGCCCCGUCUCCCAGGUCCCAGAGUAUCGAGGAGCCCCGUUUCCCAGGUCCCAGAGUAUCGAGGAGCCC